rnacentral:rRNA from 1 species
GACGAACGCUGGCGGCGUGCUUAACACAUGCAAGUCGAACGGGAAGGCCCUGCUUUUGUGGGGUGCUCGAGUGGCGAACGGGUGAGUAACACGUGAGUAACCUGCCCUUGACUUUGGGAUAACUUCAGGAAACUGGGGCUAAUACCGGAUAGGAGCUCCUGCUGCAUGGUGGGGGUUGGAAAGUUUCGGCGGUUGGGGAUGGACUCGCGGCUUAUCAGCUUGUUGGUGGGGUAGUGGCUUACCAAGGCUUUGACGGGUAGCCGGCCUGAGAGGGUGACCGGCCACAUUGGGACUGAGAUACGGCCCAGACUCCUACGGGAGGCAGCAGUGGGGAAUAUUGCACAAUGGGCGGAAGCCUGAUGCAGCAACGCCGCGUGCGGGAUGACGGCCUUCGGGUGGUAAACCGCUUUCGCCUGUGACGAAGCGUGAGUGACGGUAAUGGGUAAAGAAGCACCGGCUAACUACGUG